AAAACUCAGAUGUGAUAAUUUAACUUGAAUGGAGGGAAGUUCAACAACUACACCUUCUAUGAGAACACAGACGAGAAGUUCCACACAAUAAAAAAGUGGAUAAGCUAAAACCCUAACCCCAUCUUCGUAAGAAAGAACCCUCUAGAUUUUAAGUAGAAAAAACUCAACCACAUCAACUGGUACUUUAUGAUGUCUCUCACCACGGCAGCUCUCACGCUGCCGCAAAUAUCACCGGUCAUGUGUUUGGCGGCACUUCGUCGGCAGGAAGCUACUGUGAAAACAACAGACCAAAAGCCAGCACAAAACUUAGGUUUCCGCGGAGGCAAGAAAAAGGAAUCGCCAUGGCAUUGUGUAGAAGGCUGUGGGGCUUGCUGUAAGCUUCAAAAAGGUCCUUCUUAUCCAUCCCCGGAAGAAAUUUUCACCAACACUUCAGAUGUUGAGCUCUACAAUAGUUUAAUAGGACCAGAUGGAUGGUGUAUUCAUUAUGAAAAGAGUACUCGAAAAUGUUCCAUUUACUCUGAUCGUCCAUAUUUCUGUCGUGCGGAGCCUGAGGUGUUUAAAUCGUUAUUCGGAGUUAAAGAGAAGAAUUUCAACAAAGAGGCUUGCAGUUCCUGUAGAGACUCGAUUAAGGCCGUUUAUGGUUCCAAUUCAAAGGAGCUUCAUAGUUUUGACAAAUCAAUCAAGAGUUCUUCUGGUUAGAGUUUUGGAUUCUCAAUUGCUCAAGGUCAUAUAUCGUGUUUUGCCUUUAUUAAUCAUCACUUGGUGCUGUCUUUUGAGUAGCAACAUGGACCGCCAGAGGCUAAACCCGAAUUACAGGAAAACAUGAACUCCAACUAUGAGACUAUAGUCUGCUCAAACUCAUAAUACCAAUGAGCCAAUAAACUUGAUGUCAUAAUAUUGUUUCUGUUAGAUUGUUGAGCAGAUUACUACAUCCUAGUCCUAUUUUGUAUAUACAAAUUUAUGGAUCGGGAUAGUUACACAUGUCAAACUGAAAGAAAAUAAUUUUUCAUCCUAUUUUAUAAGCAAAACAUUAUGGUUAACCUUACUCUGUACAAAAAGUAUCUAUUGUUUACUAUCAUUAUAUUAACGAACUAUCAAGAUCCAGAU